AGUGAACGCUGGCGGUAGGCCUAACACAUGCAAGUAGAACGGCAGCACAGUAAGAGCUUGCUCUUACGGGUGGCGAGUGGCGGACGGGUGAGGAAUACAUCGGAAUCUACUUUUUCGCGGGGGAUAACGUAGGGAAACUUACGCUAAUACCGCAUACGACCUACGGGUGAAAGCAGGGGAUCUUCGGACCUUGCGCGAUUGAAUGAGCCGAUGUCGGAUUAGCUAGUUGGCGGGGUAAAGGCCCACCAAGGCGACGAUCCGUAGCUGGUCUGAGAGGAUGAUCAGCCACACUGGAACUGAGACACGGUCCAGACUCCUACGGGAGGCAGCAGUGGGGAAUAUUGGACAAUGGGCGCAAGCCUGAUCCAGCCAUACCGCGUGGGUGAAGAAGGCCUUCGGGUUGUAAAGCCCUUUUGUUGGGAAAGAAAAGCAGCAGGUUAAUACCCCGCUGUUCUGACGGUACCCAAAGAAUAAGCACCGGCUAACUUCGUG
rnacentral:rRNA from 1 species